rnacentral:rRNA from 1 species
GACGAACGCUGGCGGCGUGCUUAACACAUGCAAGUCGAACGGGGCGAAGUGAUAGCUUGCUAUUAUGGAGCCUAGUGGCAAACGGGUGAGUAACGCGUAGGCAACCUGCCCUUCAGAUGGGGACAACACCUCGAAAGGGGUGCUAAUACCGAAUGACGUUUCCUGGUCGCAUGACCUGGAAACCAAAGGCAGGGCAACCGGUCACUGAAGGAUGGGCCUGCGUCUGAUUAGCUAGUUGGUGGGGUAACGGCCCACCAAGGCGACGAUCAGUAGCCGGACUGAGAGGUUCAAACGGCCACAUUGGGACUGAGAUACGGCCCAGACUCCUACGGGAGGCAGCAGUCGGGAAUAUUGCGCAAUGGAGAAACUCUGACGCAGUGACGCCGCGUAUAGGAAGAAGGUUUUCGGAUUGUAAACUAUUGUCGAUAGGGAAGAAAAAAGACUGUACCUAUCAAGAAAGCUCCGGCUAACUACGUG